AGUGAAGAAGUGUUUUCCUGAGGUGGACACAGGGGAAGGAACAUUUGGCUGAAGCAGACACAGAAGAGAUGAUGUUCUACUAAAACAAGCACAUGAGAGGACAUGUGAUGAACGAGUCUUUGCUAAUGACACACAUAUAUUGGUCUGCCUUACAUUGUGUAGUUGAGCUGCGUUUGCUGGGACUCCAUAAAGACAAACACACCGAAAAUGCUUCUGUUGGUGUGCUGCAGCUUCUGGCCACGUGCACAGACUCGGGCUGAUUGGAAGAGUGAUGUCAGCUAAGAUAGACUCUUGUGCUGACUCAAGACACAUGCUGAGGCAAGACCCAUGGAGGACACGUGAUGUUUGGAGGGAGGAUAAAAAGGACUUAACAGUGUGGGAGGCUGAGCUUGGCUUGCUGGUAGAGCUAGCUGUGCAACACUUAUCGGUCUGGAGUCUUUGCUGCUCUUUGCUUUGCUGAGAAGCAAAGCUGAGAACUUUCCCCAGCAUUCCUUUUGGCCCUGGUCCCUCCUGCUGACUUGUGCUGAUUCAGCUGAGGUCUGGCUGUCUCUGCUAGGCCAUGCCACCACUGCUGCUAUCUCGGCUCUGCCCAACUGGACUUCUGAUGAAUUUGUGAAGUGUUUAUGAGUGGCUCAAGCUGCUGCUGCUGCUGACCUCUGAACUGAACUACAGAUUUCCAGACAACAAGGGCAGGAGUUGCUCCAAAGAACCUUUCCUAAACAGUUUC
rnacentral:lncRNA from 1 species